GCUCAGCGGCGCGGGGCGUAUCGGGGCGCGCGGGAGGACGGCAUAAGCGAUAUUGGGUUUUAUUAAGUAUGAAUGCAGCGUCUGACAGCAAACACCGUAUUUCCCGCGCGCCGCUCGCUUGUCCCACAUUCACGAACAUUACAACAAAUGCAAAUAGUGACACAAUUAACAUAUUGAUUCAAGGUUAAAAUUGGACAGAACAAUAUCAGGUUAGGGAUUUAAAAGUUACAUACAAGCAAAGGAGGAUAGACGGUUACAGUAAAAAACGGGCGGUUAAAACAGUGGAAGUGUACGAGGAAGCCAAGGUCAAGGGAUGAGUUCCCCAAGCGCUGACCAGACCUAGCCUAUUGCUUUCGUGCCGCAAACAGACAGGUUACGAAGAGGAGGAGGCAGGUCAUUCCAGCACCUAGUGGCGCAGAACCUAAAGCUUCCUCGGAAACUCACCGUUCUAUGUAUUGGCAUUCUAAGUUUUAUCAAUGACGCUCUAGUGACAUGCUCACUAUCAUUAUUUCCUAACCACUGUAAUUUAUGAUAGAGGUAAGGUGGAACCUGGUAUUUUAUAGUGCCAAAAAGUAACGUAGCGAAAUGUAAUUGCAUACGAUAAUUCAUUUUUAAGAUGUUAGCAUUAUUUAAAUAUGGUGUGAUAUGUGUACGUGGCGGUAUUUUAAAGCAGUAGCGAGCGCAGGCGUUCUGGACUCGUUGGAUGAUUUUUUUUGUACGUUCAAGUAAACGGGGCCCUAUAACUACAUCUGCAUAAUUAAAUUUAGAAAGAACUAACGCCUCACAAAGUCUAAUGCGUACUUUGGUAGAAAUGGAGUCUCUAAUAUUAUAAAGAAUUUUUAACCUAUAAAAACAGUUUUUGGCAAUAUUAUUUACAUGCUUUUCAAAACGAAGUUCCUCGUCAAAUAGAACACCUAGGUUGCGCGCUUCAGUCACCCUUUGUAUACGUACACCUUUUAUAUCAAUAUUUGGAUCACAAUUACUAAUAAUUUGAAUUUGCCGCUCUGUACCAAGUAUCAUGUAUUUAGUUUUGUUAGGGUUCAUUUCUAGCGUGUUUGAAAUUGACCAACGGGCUAUACGAUCCAAAUCUUGGUUGAGUUGUUGCAAAGCUGCUUGUACCUUACAUGGCUUAAAAGAAAUAUACAACUGCAGAUCAUCAGCAUACAAGUGAUAGUUGCAGUGAUUAAUUUGUUUUACAAUAUCAGUUGUAUAAAUCGUAAAUAAAAUUGGUCCUAAAAUAGAGCCUUGUGGUACUCCUCUAGUUACAUGCCUUAUGUCAGAUUUAGCAACACUCCCAUCUUCUGACUUAAUCUCUACGUAUUGGCUGCGGCAACUCAUAUAACUCGCAAACCAUUGUACAGUUUUGUCGUCGAACCCAUAAUAUGACAGCUUUGAUAUCAACAAUGGAAUGUUUAUGGUGUCAAACGCACGAGAGUAGUCUAGGAGUACUAGUAUAGUACCCUCGCCCCUGUCUCGAGCAGAUAGGAUAUCAUCGACAACGUCUGCUAAAGCAGUCGUAGUCCCUCGAUUUUUCCUAAAUCCUGAUUGUUUAUCUGGCAAAAUUUUAUUUAACUCCAAAAAGUCUCUUAGUUGAUUGCAUACAACUUUUUCAAGAAUCUUGGACAAACAUGGUAGAAUGCUUAUUGGACGUAAAUCUUUAAAUUCUAAGGGCGUGUCGAUCUUAGGUAUAGGUCUUACAAUAGCUUUGCACCAAAGAUCUGGGAAUUUGGAUGUUAAUAUGGAGG